AAAGUUGUUGCAGUUAAAAAGCUCGUAGUUGAACUUCAGACCUGGCUGGGUGGUCCGCUUAACGGCGUGUACUGUCUGGCUGGGCCUUACCUCUUGGUGAGCCGGCGUGCCCUUUAUUGGUGUGCGUUGGGGAACCAGGACUUUUACCUUGAGAAAAUUAGAGUGUUCAAAGCAGGCCUGUGCCUGAAUACAUUAGCAUGGAAUAAUAAAAUAGGACGUGCGGUUCUAUUUUGUUGGUUUCUAGAGUCGCCGUAAUGAUUAAUAGGGAUAGUUGGGGGCAUUGGUAUUGAGUCGCUAGAGGUGAAAUUCUUGGAUUGACUCAAGACCAACUACUGCGAAAGCAUGUGCCAAGGAUGUUUUCCACUUAAUCCAGAACGAAGGUUACGGGAUCGAAAACGAUCAG
rnacentral:rRNA from 1 species